rnacentral:rRNA from 1 species
CUCCAGACUCCUACGGGAGGCAGCAGUGGGGAAUAUUGCACAAUGGGGGAAACCCUGAUGCAGCGACGCCGCGUGAGCGAUGAAGUAUUUCGGUAUGUAAAGCUCUAUCAGCAGGGAAGAAGAUGACGGUACCUGACUAAGAAGCCCUGGCUAACUACGUGCCAGCAGCCGCGGUAAUACGUAGGGGGCAAGCGUUAUCCGGAUUUACUGGGUGUAAAGGGAGCGUAGACGGCGAUGCAAGCCAGAUGUGAAAGCCCGGGGCUCAACCCCGGGACUGCAUUUGGAACUGUGUGGCUGGAGUGUCGGAGAGGCAGGCGGAAUUCCUAGUGUAGCGGUGAAAUGCGUAGAUAUUAGGAGGAACACCAGUGGCGAAGGCGGCCUGCUGGACGAUGACUGACGUUGAGGCUCGAAAGCGUGGGGAGCAAACAGGAUUAGAUACCCUCGUACA